AACGAACGCUGGCGGCGUGGAUAAGACAUGCAAGUCGAACGGGAUUUUAUUUGUAGCAAUACACGUAAAGUCUAGUGGCGUAAGGGUGCGUAACACGUGGGCAAUCUGCCGAGAAGUGGGGGAUAGCUCGCCGAAAGGCGAAUUAAUACCGCAUGUGGUUAGUGAAGACAUCUUCGCGAUACCAAAGCCGGGGCAACCUGGCGCUUCUUGAGGGGCCCGCGGCCUAUAAGCUAGUUGGGGAGGUAACGGCCCACCAAGGCUUUGACGGGUAGCUGGUCUGAGAGGACGACCAGCCACACUGGGACUGAGACACGGCCCAGACACCUACGGGUGGCAGCAGUCGAGAAUUUUUCUCAAUGGGGGAAACCCUGAAGGAGCGACGCCGCGUGGAGGAUGAAGGUCUUCGGGUUGUAAACUCCUGUCAUUUGGGAACAAGGUGUGCGCGUUAACUGCGCGCGUAUUGAUAGUACCAGAAGAGGAAGAGACGGCUAACUCUGUGCCAGCAGCCGCCGUAAAAC
rnacentral:rRNA from 1 species